GAUGAACGCUGGCGGCGUGCCUAAUACAUGCGAGUCGAGCGAACGGACGAGAAGCUUGCUUCUUUGAUGUUAGCGGCGGACGGGUGAGUAACACGUGGAUAACCUACCUAUAAGACUGGGAUAACUUCGGGAAACCGUAGCUAAUACCGGAUAAUAUUUUGAACCGCAUGGUUCAAAAGUGAAAGACGGUCUUGCUGUCACUUAUAGAUGGAUCCGCGCUGCAUUAGCUAGUUGGUAAGGUAACGGCUUACCAAGGCAACGAUGCAUAGCCGACCUGAGAGGGUGAUCGGCCACACUGGAACUGAGACACGGUCCAGACUCCUACGGGAGGCAGCAGUAGGGAAUCUUCCGCAAUGGGCGAAAGCCUGACGGAGCAACGCCGCGUGAGUGAUGAAGGUCUUCGGAUCGUAAAACUCUGUUAUUAGGGAAGAACAUAUGUGUAAGUAACUGUGCACAUCUUGACGGUACCUAAUCAGAAAGCCACGGCUAACUACGUG
rnacentral:rRNA from 1 species